AUUGAACGCUGGCGGCAGGCCUAACACAUGCAAGUCGAACGGUAACAGGAAGCAGCUUGCUGCUUUGCUGACGAGUGGCGGACGGGUGAGUAAUGUCUGGGAAACUGCCUGAUGGAGGGGGAUAACUACUGGAAACGGUAGCUAAUACCGCAUAACGUCGCAAGACCAAAGAGGGGGACCUUCGGGCCUCUUGCCAUCGGAUGUGCCCAGGUGGGAUUAGCUAGUAGGUGGGGUAACGGCUCACCUAGGCGACGAUCCCUAGCUGGUCUGAGAGGAUGACCAGCGACACUGGAACUGAGCCACGGUCCAGACUCCUACGGGAGGCAGCAGUGGGGAAUAUUGCACAAUGGGCGCAAGCCUGAUGCAGCCAUGCCGCGUGUAUGAAGAAGGCCUUCGGGUUGUAAAGUACUUUCAGCGGGGAGGAAGGGAGUAAAGUUAAUACCUUUGCUCAUUGACGUUACCCGCAGAAGAAGCACCGGCUAACUACGUG
rnacentral:rRNA from 1 species